ACAGAAGCCCUCAAGAAAGUUGAGUCUGUUUCUGCAAAGACAUCUCCUUGGAGAGUGGGCUGGAGGAGGCGAUCCUCUCUCACAAAUCCCUGCCCUAACUGGCCUCGCCAGGGUUUUGGUGUCCUCUCUGUGGAGUGACCAGCCUUGCUUUGUACAGUAGUAGGACCCCACUGUCACCUUACACGUGCAGACUCUUCACUUGGGGAAGGAGGAGAAGCCCCACACAGCUUCUUGUAUCUCCCACUUAGGGUUUGUGUUUUGACACAGCUGUGGCUUGCAGGUAAUAACUAACCUACCUUGCAAGGUUGUAGUGAAGUUUAAAUUCAACAUUGCUUCCAAAAGUAUAUUUAAUUCAACAAUUAUUUCUUUGUUGCCUGUGUAAAUAUAACCCAGUGGAUUCGGUUGUAUGAUUUACAUAAUUUAUAUUAUAACUUAACAUUGACUGGCUUCAAUUAAAACUGCAAAUACAAACAAUAAAGCGCAGUCAAUCCCGUUUUGCUGAAACUGUGAAGACAUCUGAUCACAAAAUGCAAAAACAUUUAGG
rnacentral:lncRNA from 1 species